UACGUAGGGUGCGAGCGUUAAUCGGAAUUACUGGGCGUAAAGUGUGCGCAGGCGGCUUCGCAAGUCGAGUGUGAAAUCCCCGAGCUUAACUUGGGAAUUGCGCUCGAAACUACGGAGCUGGAGUGUGGCAGAGGAAUGUGGAAUUCCACGUGUAGCGGUGAAAUGCGUAGAGAUGUGGAGGAGCACCGAUGGCGAAGGCAGCCUUCUGGGCCAACACUGACGCUCAUGCACGAAAGCGUGGGGAGCAAACAGG
rnacentral:rRNA from 1 species